rnacentral:rRNA from 1 species
AUUCUGGUUGAUCCUGGCGGAGGUCACUGCUAUUGGGAUUCGACUAAGCCAUGCGAGUCGAGAGGGUUCGGCCCUCGGCAGACGGCUCAGUAACACGUGGAUAAUCUGCCCUUAGGUGGAGGAUAAUCUCGGGAAACUGAGAAUAAUACUCCAUAGAUCUAGGAUGCUGGAAUGCACUUAGGUUAAAAGUUCCGACGCCUAAGGAUGAGUCUGCGGACUAUCAGGUAGUAGUCAGGGUAAAGGCCUGACUAGCCUACAACGGAUACGGGUUGUGAGAGCAAUAACCCGGAGACGAUAUCUGAGACACGAUAUCGGGCCCUACGGGGCGCAGCAGGCGCGAAACCUUCACAAUGUGCGAAAGCACGAUGAGGGAAUCCCAAGUGCUUGCUCGUAAGAGUAAGCUGUUUUUAUGUCUAAAAAGCAUAGAGAGUAAGGGCUGGGUAAGACGGGUGCCAGCCGCCGCGGNAAUACCUGCAGCUCAAGUGGNGACCACUAUUAUUGGGCCUAAAACG